GGAGAGGUGGCAGAGUCUGGUUGAAUGCGCCGCACUCGAAAUGCGGUGUUCGCGUAAGCGAACCGGGGGUUCGAAUCCCUUCCUCUCCG
rnacentral:tRNA from 1 species